rnacentral:misc_RNA from 1 species
UUUUCCAAGAUAGAUUUGAGGGCUUAUUACCACCAAAUCAGGAUGUUGCCACAGGACAUUCCAAAGACUGCUUUUAGAACUCACCAUGGGCACUUUGAGUUUAAGGUAAUGCCAUUUAGGCUCACCAAUGCUCCUGCCAUAUUUCAGGCAUUGAUGAAUCAUAUCUUUCUUAAGAAAGUUUAUUUUGGUUUUCUUUGAUGACAUCU